AGCGGCGGACGGGUGAGUAACACGUAGGUAACCUGCCUAUAAGACUGGGAUAACUCCGGGAAACCGGGGCUAAUACCGGAUAACAUUUUGCACCGCAUGGUGCGAAAUUGAAAGGCGGCUUCGGCUGUCACUUAUAGAUGGACCUGCGGCGCAUUAGCUAGUUGGUGAGGUAACGGCUCACCAAGGCGACGAUGCGUAGCCGACCUGAGAGGGUGAUCGGCCACACUGGGACUGAGACACGGCCCAGACUCCUACGGGAGGCAGCAGUAGGGAAUCUUCCGCAAUGGACGAAAGUCUGACGGAGCAACGCCGCGUGAGCGAUGAAGGCCUUCGGGUCGUAAAGCUCUGUUGUUAGGGAAGAACAAGUGCUAGUUGAAUAAGCUGGCACCUUGACGGUACCUAACCAGAAAGCCACGGCUAACUACGUGCCAGCAGCCGCGGUAAUACGUAGGUGGCAAGCGUUAUCCGGAAUUAUUGGGCGUAAAGCGCGCGCAGGUGGUUUCUUAAGUCUGAUGUGAAAGCCCACGGCUCAACCGUGGAGGGUCAUUGGAAACUGGGAGACUUGAGUGCAGAAGAGGAAAGUGGAAUUCCAUGUGUAGCGGUGAAAUGCGUAGAGAUAUGGAGGAACACCAGUGGCGAAAGCGACUUUCUGGUCUGUAACUGACACUGAGGCGCGAAAGCGUGGGGAGCAAACAGAUUAGAUACCCUGGUAGUCCACGCCGUAACGAUGAGUGCUAACUGUUAGAGGGUUUCCGCCCUUUAGUGCUGAAGUUGAACGCAUUAAUGCACUCCGCCUGGAGGAGUACCGCCCGCAAUUGCUGAAACUCCACACGGAGUUGACGGGCGGGCGCGCUCUCAGCGGUGGAGCAUGUGAGUUUAUUGCGUAGGCGACGUCGAGAAACAUUACUACGUCAUUGACGUCGUCUGGACUACCCUUACAGAUAGGCUGCCCCUCAGUGGCAGACUGAACUGUGGUGCAUGAUGUCGUCAGCUC
rnacentral:rRNA from 2 species